rfam:Rattus norvegicus chromosome X, whole genome shotgun sequence.
GGGGAUUUAGCUCAGUGGUAGAGCGCUUGCCUAGGAAGCGCAAGGCCCUGGGUUCGGUCCCCAGCUCCCCCC